AUGAUGCCUGAUAUAUUUGAAAUUGAAGAAGGUAUGAAUGAGUUGGAAGAACUCAAGAUAGGUUAUUGUGAAGAAAUAGAGUGUUUGGUUGACACUAGCAAUUAUUUGAAUAAGAUGGGAAAUAUUUUCUCCAAGUUACGUUAUAUGGAGAUCACCGACAUGAAUCAUCUAAAAACUUUAUGGCAUGGUUGUCUACCUGCCAACGGGUCUUUUGAAAAAUUAGAGAAACAUACAGUUGGUGAUGACAAAACAAAGGAAAAUGAAGAUCAAUUUACAAUAGGGCAUUCCAUGCAAUCCAAAAUUUUCCAGAAUCUUCAAAAAGUGAGAAUAUGUGGAUGUGGAGAAUUAAAACAUGUAUUCUCAGCCAAUAUCACAGGAUAUUUGACUCAGUUGAAAACACUUUCUAUUGAAGAAUGCGAUAUGUUAGAACAAAUAAUUGAGUCAGCAAACCAUAAGGAAACAAAUGAAAUUGUUGAGGAAGAUGAGCAGCAUUUUGAAUCUAACCAAGUCAAAGUUUCUCCUACAAGCAUUUCAAUUCCAUCAGUAUCUACUGUGAACAAUAGCUCAGGAUCGUUUUCUCUAUCUAGCCUGACAUAUCUUCAGAUAUAUUCAUGUUCAAUGUUGGACUCAUUGUUUACGACGUCUGUAGCUAAGACCUUGACUUCAUUAGAAGAAUUAAGGAUAUUUGAUUGUUAUGGUUUGAAGCAUAUAGUAACUCCUGCAAUAGUCAAAAGAAAUAAAAGGGAAAACAUGGUUGAAUAUGAACAUGAAUUUAAAAGUCAUCUUUCAAUGUUCUCAAGUUUGAAAAGGGUAAAUAUUUGUAGAUGUGACUCAUUGCAAGAUAUAUUCGUAAUGCCUUUUGUUGGGGGCAUAGUGAAUAUUCAGAACCAUUUUCCCACUCAUCAAACUCUAAGGAUGAGCAAUGCCAACAAUGGAGACUGGAUGAUGGGACAACAAGUCAGUUUAAAGUUAGAAUUUUUGUACUUGGCAAAUCUACCUGAAAUGAGUCAUAUUUGGGUGGCUACCAACAACUCAUUUACCCUCCAACAUCUCAACUCAUUAACAGUAAGAGGGUGUGAAAAAUUAGAAGUAAUAUUUCCUCAGUCUAUGUUGAGAUCCCUACCAGAGUUAAAUUAUCUGGAAGUAAGUGAAUGCAAGGAAUUAAGACAGAUAAUUGAAGAGGAUUUGGAGGAUAAAAGGUUUAUUCAACCAUGCUUCCCCAAACUAGAAUCAUUGUUUAUUCAACAAUGCCAUAAGUUGAAAUGUUUCACCUCUGUAUUUUCCCCCAAUGAUCUUUCCAACUUGAAGAUUCUAAUAAUAAAGGAAGCCACUGAACUACAAGAGUUUAUUGCAUGCAAAUACGAUGAGACUGGGAAGACCAAAGUUCAACUUCCACAACUGAAACUUAUAUUAUUUAUGCAUCUUUUAAAUUUUCAACAAGAGAGUAUAUUUUUAAAUGUGAAGCAUCGCAUUAUUCGCAAUUGUCCAAAACUCUCUUUGACUUCAACAACUCCACCUCAGGAGCUCCAACAAAAUCUUCGUUUGGAAGCUUGGGAAAAUUAUAGAAUUCCUGACUGGCGAAUUUGGUCACUGGUGGAGGACAUAAAGAAAUUAGAUAAAGUUUCUAGGAGCAACAAUUCUACUGAGUUGCCUUCUUUACAGAUCAAUGAAAAAUCAGAUAAGAACGUCACUGAGAAAGAUUAUCGUUCAGAGGAAGUGGCUCCUGCAACUUCAAUAAAUGCAGAGGUGGAUGGAAAAUCUAAUCGUGAAACAUAUUCCCAGGAAAGUAACGUUACACAAACUAAAUAUUCUCAUUUUUUAAAAAAAUUUACAAAAAAUGAAUGGUUGAUUUAUAUACUACAACAACUCAAGGAAAUAAAUUAGUAUGGAGGCUAUCAAUCGCAAAAAGUAGUCCUAACUUUUUACGAUCAAUUGUUUUCGGCAGGAUUUGGAUCCUACGCCAAAAAACACUUCUCCCCUCCAAAUGAACCGUGAAGAUCCAUCUAUAUCUCAAAUUAAACCAUUUUCUUCACAAGUCAAUGAUAACAAUCAAUCUAUGUUGGAGAGCAAAGUUGAAAUGGUGGGUCAACAUAACAAAAUUGAAACCAAAACACAAGAGUCGGAAAUAGAAGAGUUCCAAAAAAUAGACAGAAAAAGUGAAAUGACAUCUGACCCAGAAGCUAUGGAGCAGAACUUUCCAGACAUUUCAUCUCCAAACAUGAAUGAGCGUACUGAUGAAAUAGAGACAGACAACUUGGGAAAAACUACGACAUCAGAUAAACCUGCAAUACCAACUUCUGUUUCAGAGAAUAUUGAGGAAAUAGGAAGAGAAAGGAGCAGAGGUGGAGCUGCAACAGAGGGAGCUACAAUUAAAACCUUGCCAAUUGGUGGAGAUAACAUUAGCUUGGUUAGUGGUGUUACUAUUCACAACUCAAGCGGUGCAAAUAUACUUAUACAAGAUUCCCAGGUUGUUAAACAAGAUAGUGAGAUGAAUGAAGACAAGACAGAAAUAGCACCAUAUAAAAAUAUCAAAAUCCAAGAAGGGUUGAACUUGUUGGAUAAAACAGAGGGAAUAGGAAUUGUUUCCAAUAAUGACGUUGUGGUUACUCCAGAUACUCGUACAAGAUUGGAAAAGUAUAAGCACUUGGUUGAUCUCAAUGAUUCACAAAUUUGUUUGCUAGUGGAGGCGAUAGAAGCAUACCCUCAUCUUUGGAAUGCUUGUGAGAAGUUCACUGAUCGCUUUCGAGCUUGGAUGUUGAAAACAUUGGCAGAUAUGUUGUUGUUCCUUCGAAGUGAAAGUGUUGGUAGUAUUAAUCGUGAGAGAGAAAGGGAGUUCCUUAAACUGUGUGAUGAAGCUGUUCAACUUGGAUUUGAGAGGUCUUGGGUUGAUGAAAUGCGUCAACGUGUUUUGGGAAGGGAUCCUAAGUUGGACCAUGCAAAGGUGCGAAUCAAUGAGCUUCUUAAGAGACAUGAUCAUUUAACUUGGGAACUAGACAACAUAAAGAAAUAACUUAGGAGUCUUAAUGACUUUCUUGAUGCCCAAGCAAAAUGUUUCGACUUUCUGUGAUUUGAGAUUUCUAGCCAAAACACUUUAGUUUUAUCUGUUUUAUGUUACUCCUUUGAAUUAGAUUUGGCAUUAUAUGCAAUUCUUUUAAGAAUGAGUGUUAUAGUUUCAGAAUGUACUUUUAUUUGCGACGAGAAGUUGUUUAUGUUUCUGAAUAUUUAAGAAGUACAAUAAAUCAAUAUUUGUACAAGAUUUCAUCAUUAUUAUG